GCAGCGACAAACAGCCGGGGACCAGGGCCGUGGCAGCCCGGUGCCGCGCAGGGGCGUUGUCCCCGCGCGCUGAGAGGCCCCCAGACCCACCGCGCUCUGUAGGGCUGAAGAGAAGGAGCGGAAGGGAAGCAGCGCAGUCGCCGCGCCCUGAACUUGAAACCCCGGCGGCCUGCGCCUCGGGCGCUUAGAGGAGCCGCCCGAGACCCCGACCUUUCCCGGGCCCCGCGCCGGCUUCCAGAACAUACGUGGGAAAUCUGAGGAAAAAAGGAGCUACGUAACUUGCCCAAAUGACACCAGUAAUAAAUGGUAGAGCUGGGAUUUGAACCAAGCAGUCCUGCUCCAGAGUCUGUGAUCCUAAAUGGUAUAUAUACUGAAGCAGUGCCUUCAAGAUUAAAAGGGAAAAGUACAUGCAACCUGGGACUCUAUAUCCGGCCAAAUUAUCACUCCAGUCUGACUUUCCAGCUUUGCAGUGUGGGGUGCUGUUGAGAGUGAAACUUUGGAUUCUUGCUGGACAAGACGUGCUCCUUCUCAGCCACUCAUGUAGGAAGACUGGAACACGACAGCCGUUCUGCCACCAUGGAAGAAGUACAUCCCUCAGAAGGCAGAACAGAAAGACAAAAAGACACUAACUUCAUGCUAACCUCACUGAGGUGCUGGAUCUCUCUAGUUUUGGAAUUGCCAUUACAUGAGCUCAUAAAUCUUCUUUAUUAAAGUCAGUUUGAGUCAGAUUCUCUGUUCUUUGCAACUUCAGAAUGCAUUCUGAUUUGAGGUACUUCCUAUCUGGACUGUUAGGUAAGAGGCAAAGAGGAAAACCAAACGGCAGUCUUUCAAGAGGCAAAAGCAAAAACACUUUUCUAUUCCUGAACCAUAUUAUGUAGGUGUGACAUCAUCCACCUUUUCUUCCCUCAUCAAAGAGGGAGAAAAAAAUGAUGUAUUGAACUGUCACGUGUAAUGUACUCUGCCACUUACUUUGUUGGGCUUUGGGCCUUGGAUUCUGAAUAAGGAAAUGGAGACAAUAAUAGUAUCUCCCUCGUAGGGAGACUCUGAGAUUAAAUGAUAUAAUAUGUGUAAAGUGCCUCAAACAGGGCCCGUUCAUAGCAAGCACUUGGGAGAUACUAAUUACUAUGAUUAUCUGAAUCCUCAGUCCACUAGGGCUUGUGCUAGAGAAGAGCAAUAACUCCUGCCAAAUCUUCCAAAUGAUCUCUGUACAAGACAUCAUCUUUUUGAAGAGCUCAUGCCUCUUCUUUUGGUCAAAAGAGAGCAAAGUAAGUUUCCUGCAGAUUUCCAAGAAGCCCUCAUCCUGCCUUAGGUCAAACACAGAUCCCUCACUCAAAGCUCAGCCCUUUCAGAAGUGCAUGGCACAUCGCUUCACAGCUUCCAUGAAGAGAGGUGCAGGACACCCCCGUACCCCAGGAAUUCAGGACUAGCCCUGUUCAUGAUUGCCCACCAGCCCAGCAUGAGGAGAAAGUCCACCCUGGGGGAUGUUUGUACUUGGCCACUGCCCACCUCACCCCGGAGUCCCCCAGGACAGACCAGCAUGGAUUAGUAAACCCAGAGGGAAAGGGAGACACCCAGAGACUCAGCAGCCUUUGUAAACAGGGUUCAUGGAACAGCUGCCUCAGUGAUUUCAUCCCUGGCCAAGGACACCGUAAAAAAGAGAAAUAUUCAGUGAUCACCAUUUCGCAGUGCUGUAAAAGACUUAGAAUCGGGGCCCAGAAAGCUCGAGUUCCAGCAACAUUCUGCUCUGACAGGACCUUAAAAUGCCUUCUGGAGUCAAGUCAGGGAGAAAAAUUCUUAAGGUAACUGAGUGCAGCAAAUAACUAAGUAGGAAGAAUUCACUCUAAAUGCCAAAAAGGAAUAUGGCCAAAGCUUCCAAGGAACAGGGAAAAAAGUGAAAAAGAAAGCAGAAACAUUAUGAUAAGAAGAGAAGGGAUGUUCAUUUUCAAACAGGAGAUAAGAUAUGGAUUAAAGUUCAUCCUCAGAAUAAUGUAGCAAGAAACUUUAUAGCCAAACUGACUCCAACCGGAAAGGUCCCUGUUUCUCGGAUCUCUUUGAAUUAUAGGGAAAACUAAUUGGAUCUUCAUGUUUACCGUGGAGGAAACCAAGUGUUACUCGGGAUGUAAAUCCUGGAGGUACUUUAAAAAAGCAACACUGACCUUUACAAGCCUUUAAACGUAUAGAUCUGUAAGGAGAAAAAAAAUUGAUUUCCUGACC